CUGAGCCCAGGCUCGAAGCUGUUCACAGAAAACUUCACCAGAGUGAAAAUCAGUAUCAGAAGUAAGAGGAGCAUCGCUAAAGCUCCGUUCCAUGAUUGGCCAGUAUGCAUCACCAGCCUUUAUUUCACAUAAACUUAUGAGAUCCGCCAAGCAGCGGAGUAUGUUUUGCGGAUCUGAGCCAUCCGGCGGAAAAAGGGCAUGGGGUGCUUCUCAGGAUCAGGGAGUGAAGUCACAAGGGUAGCAGCUUGGGAAGGGUUAAAGGUUACAUACAUGGGUGGUGCACCAUCCGCGCCAUGGUUAAUCUGGGUAUACCCCUGGGGGAUGGAGCGCCGUUGUGGUGGUCUGCUCCCCCCUAAGUGAGGUGAGCCCUGG